AGGGUUCGAUUCUGGCUCAGGAUGAACGCUGGCGGCGUGCUUAACACAUGCAAGUCGAACGGGAUCCCAGGAGCUUGCUCCUGGGUGAGAGUGGCGAACGGGUGAGUAAUGCGUGACCGACCUGCCCCAUACACCGGAAUAGCUCCUGGAAACGGGUGGUAAUGCCGGAUGCUCCAGUUGGAUGCAUGUCCUUCUGGGAAAGAUUCAUCGGUAUGGGAUGGGGUCGCGUCCUAUCAGCUUGAUGGCGGGGUAACGGCCCACCAUGGCUUCGACGGGUAGCCGGCCUGAGAGGGCGACCGGCCACAUUGGGACUGAGAUACGGCCCAGACUCCUACGGGAGGCAGCAGUGGGGAAUAUUGCACAAUGGGCGCAAGCCUGAUGCAGCGACGCCGCGUGCGGGAUGACGGCCUUCGGGUUGUAAACCGCUUUUGACUGGGAGCAAGCCCUUCGGGGUGAGUGUACCUUUCGAAUAAGCACCGGCUAACUACGUGCCAGCAGCCGCGGUAAUACGUAGGGUGCAAGCGUUAUCCGGAAUUAUUGGGCGUAAAGGGCUCGUAGGCGGUUCGUCGCGUCCGGUGUGAAAGUCCAUCGCUUAACGGUGGAUCCGCGCCGGGUACGGGCGGGCUUGAGUGCGGUAGGGGAGACUGGAAUUCCCGGUGUAACGGUGGAAUGUGUAGAUAUCGGGAAGAACACCAAUGGCGAAGGCAGGUCUCUGGGCCGUCACUGACGCUGAGGAGCGAAAGCGUGGGGAGCGAACAGGAUUAGAUACCCUGGUAGUCCACGCCGUAAACGGUGGAUGCUGGAUGUGGGGACCAUUCCACGGUCUCCGUGUCGGAGCCAACGCGUUAAGCAUCCCGCCUGGGGAGUACGGCCGCAAGGCUAAAACUCAAAGGAAUUGACGGGGGCCCGCACAAGCAGCGGAGCAUGUGGUUUAAUUCGAAGCAACGCGAAGAACCUUACCAGGUCUUGACAUCCCGAUGACCGGCCCGUAACGGGGCCUUCUCUUCGGAGCAUUGGAGACAGGUGGUGCAUGGUUGUCGUCAGCUCGUGUCGUGAGAUGUUGGGUUAAG
rnacentral:rRNA from 1 species